AUGAGGAAGUAGCAAAAUAUGUGGUGGAUUGAUGUUAUAAAUACUUUGAUAGUUUCCGUUCUGUGUCUAUCUGUCACAGCCUUGUAUGGACUACGGUCUGUGUAGUGGUUGACUGGUGGCGCUCACUUCCACAAGGAACAAACACACAAGCCUGGUGGUACCAGAAAGACUCCUGGAGUGACCCAGCUCCUCUGUAACGCAGUGCACCACUGUCAAGCCACCUUCAAAGACAUGCCACAAUUAUCAGCACCAUCAGCAAUGGAAUCAAAAUGGCGGCAAGGUGACCACUGCGAUUGUCCUCAGCGCUCUGCAACACCAAAAGUUUACAGAUCAAUCCUGUAAAAUAAUACUGGCCGACCGCCAUCAAACACAGGGGUCCAGCGAACAGUGAUGGCCUCCUCCUUCACCUCCCGAGGCUCCAGUUUGGGGGGAUUUGGACGAGCUGA